UGUCAGUUUCAGAGUGCAACUCCUUCCCUCUGGGGAACUCUGCAUCCAGGGAGGGAGGGGGAAUCUGUUCACUUGUAGCAACUGGAGUGAAUCCAGGGAGGGAGCAGACUCUGCAAACUAAAGAGAAUUUGAAGAUCUGAAGACAGAAGUUUCAAAAUCAACAGGUGAAGACCUGAUGCCCGAAACGUUGAUUCUCCUCCUCGGAUGCUGCCUGACCUCCUGCGCUUUUCCAGCUCUGCACUUUUCAACACUGACUCUUCAGUGACUGCAGUCCUCACUUUGAUGUCAAUGUCUGACAGUCACUCAGUCCAUUGGGAACGCAACGGUUUUCAACUCUGAUUCUGUGAGAAGGAGCAAAGCAUUUUGGUUCCUGUUUGGGUACAUUUUCAGCAUCAGUGGGACUGGAUGAGAGACCCUACUGUUGCAGUGCUCUCAGUGAGGAUCGUGUAACAGCUAUACGGCCUGGGAAGAGGAAUUCAUGUUGGGGAGGGUCUCCACACGUGUGCAGCUAAAGCUUCGGCCAUGGAAAAACCCGAGAAAUCCUGCCCUGUGGAGAAACAGUGGAAGUGUGGCGACUGCGGGAAAGGCUUCCGUGCUCCGUCUGCCCUGGAGGUUCAUCGGCACAUCCACACGGGAGAAGCCGUUCUCCUGCCCCGAAUGCUGUAAGGGCUUUACCCAGGACUCUAUCAUGCUGAUCCACUGGCGUAUCCACACAGGGGAACGGCCCUUCCAGUGCCCGAGUGUGGGAAAAUCUUCAGGAAUUCUUCAAACCUGCUCAGGCACCAGCGGCUCCACACUGGGGAAAGGCCCUUCAGCUGUCCCGAGUGCGGGAAGGCCUUUGUCCGGGCCUCCCACCUCCUGACCCACCAGCGGGUCCACACGGGGCAGAGGCCCUUCAGCUGUCCUGAGUGUGGGAAGAGAUUUACCCAGGCCUCCAACUUGCUGACCCACCAGUGGGUCCACACACAGUAAAGGCCCUUCAGUUGCCUUCACCUGCUCCUCCCGCCUGCGGAGGCACCAGCGAGUUCACGUGCCAUUGCAGGGGGAUUGAAGGAGCGACGGCCAAGUGCCAUUAUCGACUGGACUAUCAACCCAGUUCCAGGGACACCCAGGUUUGAAUUCCACGCAGCAGAUGGUGGAUUUGGAAUUUGGUCAGAAAUCUGGAGUUCAGAAUCUAACGGUGAAACCAUUUUCGGGGGUUGGGGGUGGAGAAACCCCCAUCUGAUUCACUCACGUCCUUUUUAGGGAAGGAAACUGUCGUUGUGGGAGAGGAUUCACUUGGUCAUCCCAGCUGCAUCCUUUACCCGGUCUGGCCUACACGUGACUCCAGACCCACAACAGUCUGGUUGACUCUACACUGCCCCCCCCCCCUGGCAAAUGCGUGGAGAGAAACUUACUUGGAGACAAGGUAUGGGUUGAAAUUGGUGAGUGAGGCAGUAUUUCCUAUGGGUUACGGCUGUAGCAAGGACCCAAUUACAAAGGGACAACUCGGUGCUGACCAAUAGUAAAGGAAGAGAGGGGGGUGGCAAUGUGUGCACUUUGACCUUGAGCUGCUUAUUUAAAAAACAGCAACUUUUUCUACGCCUUUUUGGUGAGCUGGGGGGGGGGGGAAUCUGAAGCUGUAACAAAGUUGGGUCACAAUAAAGGUUACCUGAACUUA